UUGCGCAUCGCGUGAUCCCUUCCAAAAAAAAAAAAAACGCGGCGUCGCUCGCCAACCCGCCGCGCCGCGCACCGCUUAUCCCCGCACCGGCGUCAAUCUCGGAUCCUCUCUCCCCACCCUUCCUUCCCGGCGCCCCUCGCUUCCUCUGCCGACGCCAUCUCCAUUUGCCUCCCCGCAUGACCGCCCCUUCCAUCCCCCCCUCCUAGCGCACCCUGGCGAGUCUCGGCGGCGGCGGCCCUUGGCACGGCGCGGCCUCCGAGCGAGCGUCGUGCGGCCCCUCUCACGAGCGCGAGGGGGGCGUGGAGUCCGCCCCCGAUCCCGGGAGCUCCGGGUGCCACGCGCGGGGUUGUGGGAGCUCGCUGCCGGCGCCGCGCGUCAAUUCCCCGCAGAUCCGGCGGGCGUGGGAUCUAGCGGCGAGUACAACCGGCGUGGGAAGGGAUCCGGCGGGGACGGGCAGGGAUCCGGCCGUGUUGACUGCUGGUACGGGCGACGGACGGUGCGUGGUCGACCUCCGCAGCAAGUCUUACUGCUGUUUCUACGUCCGUCUGAAGCAGCUGUUUGAGAAGCUGGGAGCAAGCUUUAAGGCCAUUGAGAUGGAUGUGGAAAGUGAUGGAUGUGAGAUGCUCUCAAGGAAUGGGGUAGACAGAGGACCGUCCUGAAGCAGCUGCAGAAGCAGUAAACUGGCGAGGGGCGCAGGAGACCCAGCCGGUCCAGCAGCUUCACUGGCCACUGCAGAGGCAGAGUCGGCGGCGGGGGCAAGGGCGGCGGGCUGGGGCUCCUCGAGCCAGCCUCUCCUCUCAUCUAAUCGCAGAUAUUUCCUAAUCUUUUGUAGUUCUUCCUGGAUGUGUUCUAUGGAGAGCUCAUGCCUCUAUAGUUGAACAAGUUGGUUCAAUAGAUUGCCUGAUGGGUUAUUUAGACUUAUUAGAUUGCCAUAAUUAUUGAGUUACCAACAUUAUUUUCUGCAAUGCAAACACUUAUUAGAUAAUGCCAAGUUUUACUUCAUCUGUGCUGAUACUAAUAUUCGUAUCCUGUAUCGAUGCUGCAUAGCUGAAAAAGUGAUGCAAGCAAUGUAUAUGAUUCUAGCAAAAGAGAAUGCCCAAUUUGUCUUCCUGUUUGAUCUCCCUCGAAUUAGGACGCCAUGGGACUCUCAAAGGAUGUCAGGUUACACAGGAUAUGCCACUUUAAAAAUACGGAGUUGACUAGAUUAGUUACCUUUCCUAAAGCAAUCAGUGACUGUAGUCUAUGUUUUUUUUUUAUUUUUGUACCCAGUUAUGUGUUUCCUUGGGGAUUUCCAUAGGGUCAAGAACGUGUAGAAUUGAGACAAGGUCUGGAGCUACUGCCAAGACAAAAUAUUAGAUUACAGAAUGCUUACUAAGUUACUAUUUAAUUACAGUUAAUGGUGGGAGAAGGUUGGAUCCCAGUAUUCCAGUAUGACCCCUUUAUUAUGUUUGGCAGCCUGCCACCUUAUGUAUGGUGCUUUUUUGUUGCCACUAAAAGGUGAUGGCUGUAAUUUGAAUUGGAGAUGCCACUUCAUUGUGUUUUCAGCUUUUUUCAGACUCACUCGAAAAUAUUACAUAUUAGUAGGAUUGGAUAUAUAUAAUCUUUCUGCAAAUUACAAUGGAAGGAAACACUGGUCUAUGAAAGCAAGGAAUUUAUGGAGUUUUUGAAGUACAUUGGGGCGAGAGAGGAGCACGACAAGCACAAAAAGCUGUUCACUAAGCUCUGUACCUAAAGAAUGACAACUGCAUUUGAGUCUUGAGAUGUGCGGAUUCACCUGUUGCCAAGUUUGAGAACUGCUAAAUUGUGAAUGCACUGAGUUUUUAAUUUAUUUCUCCGUGUAAAGCUAUCAAAAUUCUAUCCGUAUUUGUAUUUUAGGAAGAGGGUGUUCCUUCAAGAUGAAGGUGAUGAUAUAUAGAGGGAGGUGACGAUGACUAUGUGGAAAUAUAGAUGAUUGGAAUGCCUAUUGAAGCAUCUGAUGGAGGACAGCAUUAGUAAUUUAGUAUGCAUGGUGUUGGAUAACUAUGAAGGAAAUAUCAAUUGCUUCUAGCUACUUUUUUGUGAAAGUAUAUUAGAAUUUCCAUAUUGUUUGCUACAUACAGAUACUUGGAUAUAAACAGAAGAUAUAAACAUGCAUGUAGCUUGCUCUCUAUGUUUGGGGAAAGAAAUAAGAUACAUGGGAAAAACUCAUAUGGUAGUUGAUUUAGAGCCUUUUAAGAGAUGGUAAUUGAUUGCCUCUAUAUUUACAAAAUAAAUAAAAAUAAACAAUUAUUAGUAAUUGAAUAAUUGAGCAACUAUAUUUUUUUUAUGGGUCAAUCAAUAGGGUGUUACCAUAUGAAUCAUGAUUGAGAGGGGCUUAGUUUCGUAUGAGAUAUUGAUUGUAUUUUAAAAAUUCUUUAAUUACAAUGUGUACAUCUUUGCUACAAUAAGAAAACUAUUAUCUAUUAACUUUUUAUCAAUGUAAAAAUUUUUAAUGAAUUUUUAAAACAUGUGCAUGCCGCACAUGGGCAUCUCUGCAAAUGUUCAGAGUGUCAUGCGUUAGUUAUAGGAAGAAUCCUCGGAUUCAUUAUCUUCAGUUUUUCUGUAUUUGCCAUCUUGAAGAUCACUACAGCACUGCUCACCAGUAUUAUUUAGGAAUGGUUGCCUCUAUGACUGAAAGCUAGCUGUUUUCAUCAAAUUGACCAUGUUUUGAAGAAAAGGGGGUAUGACUUUACAAGCUGCAAGCACAUGAAGGAGAAUUGAACCAGAUGGGAGGAGAUUUAGAGAGCAGGACUGAGGUGCUUGACAAGAAGAAAAAAAAGAACACUUUGGGAGCAAGAUUUUGGCAUUGUAUUCUGUCAACAGCAAGAUCAAGACCGAUGGCAAAAUGCAAGAUGGAAGAAUCACGAGAUGAUGUCAUGAAGAGACAUCAAACUCCAAUGUGCUUGAAGGAACUUGUGGCAGGGCACUUGAAGGAGGAAUCACCAGACAACAAUUGAAAUGAGAUGAAGGUGAAGGAUGCGGACACAAAGUCUAUUAGCUGGGCGACCAUCAAUAUUCAUGACAAGGUUGCAAAGCUCCCAUCAGAGCACUUGCCAAGAAGGUUAAUCCAUUAUCUAUUUUUUCUGUUUAUAGAAAUUCGAUCGUCUGUCUUUAGUGAUGUGAGCUACUUUAAAAAAUUUACAUUGCAUCAUAGUCAGCACAUUUUAUGUGAUCUAUACAAUUGUGAAAUUGUUUUAUUUCUAUACUGCAUGAAUGCUUAUUGAUAUUUCUAUAGUUGAAUUCCUUUUUUCGACAAUUGAGAUUUUUGUUUAUAACAGGGUUCUCCGAAAGUUGGUCUUGCAGCAUUCCCUUGUUUAUUGACGUUCAGUUCUACUAAAUUCUAUUUUGGUCAGCAUGGUUGGUUAAUCAUAUUUGUUUAAGCUGUUGUUCAUUCUUAUGCUGCUCUGCUGUGUCAAAAAAAAAAAACUCAAAGUCCCUCUCCAAGCAUACCAUGUUGAAUAAAAUAGGAACGAAAUACCUCGCUUUCUUUUUUUGUUCUUGAAUAUUGCCAUUAGGUUCGCUUUGGAUAGUCAUAAUCUGCGUCUCUUUGUGAUGCUGCGCAGAUUUAUGAUAGCUAGGUUUUGCACAUAUGACUUAGAUCUGCAUUCUGGUUGCUUUCUAUGUCAGGCAAUUGAACUUUUAAGUUGCUAUAGGCCCUUGGUAUGCUAAACUGGUAACCUUGCAUCUGCAUGCUUUCAGCACUCUUCUCAUUUUUCUAGAAAGAGAGGAAGUUUUUGUUGACACCGUUUU